rnacentral:ncRNA from 1 species
CGGCUCUCAGGAAACUGAGAUUAAAUGGGAAUCGGGUGAGAAUCCCGAACAACCGCCAUUACCGUAUCUGACGAAAUAUAUACAUUAUGUCAUUGGCUUUUUGCUGAGAAGGCGUAUAUAUACGCACAUAAGUGCCAUAUCACAAGCCGGGAGACCUGCCGCCGGGAUUA